GACAUGAACCAAAGUGCGCUGCAAGGACUAACCAGGUUAAACAGGAUCCACUUGGGAAAAUGAUGAAAGAACACUGCCAGCCAUCCCUGCUGCCCCCUGGGCUGGAGUUCUGAGACAUGAGGACAAGAGUGGCUACCUCAUUUCCCCCAUUUCCAGAUGGGAUUGAAUCUCCACCAGAGCUUUCCCAAUCACAUUUGAGCAGGGACCCCCUGUUCCUUCAUAAUCAUUUCCAUAACACACAUAUUUGGAAGCGCUGGUGUGUUGAAAAGAAGAGACUUUGCAGCCAGCAGAUAAACAAGCAGAAACUACAAGUAGCUGAGAGCCAGACUUAAAUUCCUACGGGAACAGCUUCUCAGGCUGAGAAUUACACAUUUGUAGGGGAGUUCCAGACUGCUAUGGAGUGGUGUUUGCAGAGGUUUGAUAAAAGUGGUUUAUGCUCCUGGCAGCACCCAUGGCUUCUGUGUUUUCUCCCUUCCUGAGAGAGCACUGCUCCUGGGAAUGUCCAUGGACUCAUCUGCAGUGACUGAUGCCCAAGCUUGCCAAAGCCCGUCACCAAGACCUAUGGGAGACACCCGACCUGAACACCGAGACUUCUCCAACCUGACGUCUCUGGGCUACAAGCUGAGUUUGAGCAUUCCUCACUGAUGUGGUGACUUCUG